rnacentral:rRNA from 1 species
CCUACGGGUGGCAGCAGUGAGGAAUAUUGGUCAAUGGGCGAGAGCCUGAACCAGCCAAGUCGCGUGAGGGAGUACUGCCCUAUGGGUUGUAAACCUCUUUUGUCGGGGAGCAAAAGCCGGACGUGUCCGGCUGUGAGAGUACCCGAAGAACAAGCAUCGGCUAACUCCGUGCCAGCAGCCGCGGUAAUACGGAGGAUGCGAGCGUUAUCCGGAUUUAUUGGGUUUAAAGGGUGCGCAGGCGGAUUUUUAAGUCAGCGGUAAAAUCGUGGGGCUCAACCCCAUCCAGCCGUUGAAACUGGGGAUCUAGAGUGUGCGAGAGGUAUGCGGAAUGCGUGGUGUAGCGGUGAAAUGCAUAGAUAUCACGCAGAACCCCGAUUGCGAAGGCAGCAUACCGGUGCACAACUGACGCUCAGGCACGAAAGCGUGGGUAUCGAACAGGAUUAGAUACCCUGGUAGUC